AGCGAACGCUGGCGGUAGGCCUAACACAUGCAAGUCGAACGGCAGCAGAGGAGAGCUUGCCACCUGGGUGGCGAGCGGCGGACGGGUGAGGAAUACAUCGGAAUCUACCCGGUCGUGGGGGAUAACGUAUGGAAACGUAAGCUAAUACCGCAUACGGUCUACGGGCGAAAGAAGGGGACCUUCGCGCCUUCUGCGACUAGAUGAGCCGAGCUCGGAUUAGCUAGUUGGGGGGGUAAAGGCCCACCUAGGCGACGAUCCGUAGCUGGUCUGAGAGGAUGAUCAGCCACACUGGAACUGAGACACGGUCCAGACUCCUACGGGAGGCAGCAGUGGGGAAUAUUGGACAAUGGGCGCAAGCCUGAUCCAGCCAUACCGCGUGUGUGAAGAAGGCCUUCGGGUUGUAAAGCCCUUUUGUUGGGAAAGAAGUCCAGCUGGCUAAUACCCGGUUGGGAUGACGGUACCCAAAGAAGAAGCACCGGCUAACUUCGUGCCAGCCGCCGCAGUAA
rnacentral:rRNA from 1 species